GGCUUCCUCAACCUCGGCCCUCCAAAUGUUUUGGGACUACAACUCCCAUGAUCCCUAGCUAACUGGACCAGAGGUCAGGGAUGAUGGGAAUUGUAGUCCCAAAACAGCAGGUGGGCCAAGGUUGAGGAAGCC